GGCGGAUAAUCAAGUCUUGUGUGAAAUUUCGGGGCUCAACCUCGAAGCGGCACAGGAAACUAGUUAUCUAGAGGGUAGACGGAGAGAAUGGAAUUCCACAAGUAGCGGUGAAAUGCGUAGAUAUGUGGAAGAACACCGGUGGCGAAGGCGAUUCUCUAGUUUACUCCUGACGCUGAGGCGCGAAAGCAAGGGGAUCAAACAGGAUUAGAUACCCUGGUAGUCCUUGCCUUAAACUAUGUAUACUUGGUGUAACUGGACUCAACCCUAGUUGUGCCGAAGCUAACGCGAUAAGUAUACCGCCUGGGGAGUACGCUCGCAAGGGUGAAACUCAAAAGAAUUGACGGGGACCCGCACAAGCAGUGGAGCAUGUGGUUUAAUUCGAUGCAACGCGAAGAACCUUACCCAGGUUUGACAUGCACUUGACCGCUUCAGAAAUGAAGCUUCUCUUCGGAGCAGGUGCACAGGUGCUGCAUGGCUGUCGUCAGCUCGUGCCGUGAGGUGUUUGGUUAAGUCCAGCAACGAGCGCAACCCUUAUCAUUAGUUGCCAGCACGUAAUGGUGGGAACUCUAAUGAGACUGCCCGGGUUAACCG
rnacentral:rRNA from 1 species